AGAGUUUGAUCAUGGCUCAGAACGAACGCUGGCGGCAGGCCUAAAACAUGCAAGUCGAGCGCCCAGCAAUGGGAGCGGCGGACGGGUGAAUAACACGUGGGAAUGUACCUUUCGGUACGGAACAACUCAGGGAAACUUGAGCUAAUACCGUAUGCGCCCUAACGGGGAAAGAUUUAUCGCCGAAAGAUCAGCCCGCGUCCGAUUAGCUAGUUGGUGAGGUAAUGGCUCACCAAGGCUCCGAUCGGUAGCUGGUUUGAGAGAACGAUCAGCCACACUGGGACUGAGACACGGCCCAGACUCCUACGGGAGGCAGCAGUUGGGAAUCUUGGACAAUGGGCGAAAGCCUGAUCCAGCCAUGCCGCGUGAGUGAUGAAGGCCUUAGGGUUGUAAAGCUCUUUUGCCAGGGACGAUAAUGACUGUACCUGGAGAAUAAGCCCCGGCUAACUUCGUGCCAGCAGCCGCGGUAAUAC
rnacentral:rRNA from 1 species